AUUGAACGCUGGCGGCAGGCCUAACACAUGCAAGUCGAACGAGUGGCGGACGGGUGAGUAAUGUCUGGGAAACUGCCUGAUGGAGGGGGAUAACUACUGGAAACGGUAGCUAAUACCGCAUACCAUCGGAUGUGCCCAGAUGGGAUUAGCUAGUAGGUGGGGUAAAGGCUCACCUAGGCGCCGAUCCCUAGCUGGUCUGAGCGGAUGACACGCCACACUGGAGCUGCUACACGGUCCAGACUCCUACGGGAGGCAGCAGUGGGGAAUAUUGCACAAUGGUCGCAAGCCUUAUGCAGCCAUGCCGCGUGUAUGAAGAAGGCCUUCGGGUUGUAAAGUACUGUCAGCGUGGACGCGUUACCCGCUGAAGAAGCACCGGAUAACUCCGUGCGAGCAGCCGCGGUAAUUC
rnacentral:rRNA from 1 species